rnacentral:rRNA from 1 species
GGGUCGACUCUGGCUCAGAUUGAACGCUGGCGGGAUGCUUGCCACAUGCAAGUCGAACGGCAGCAAUGGACUUCGGUCUGGUGGCGAGUGGCGAAACGGGCGGCAAUGUAUCGGAACGUGCCUAGUAGCGGGGAUAACUACGCGAAAGCGUAGCUAAUACCGCAUACGAUUCCGGGAAAGCGGGGGACCUUCGGCCUCGCACUAGAGUAGGGCUGAUAUCGGAUUAGCUAGUUGGUGGGGUAACGGGCUCACUGAGCGACGAUCCGUAGCUGGUUUGAGAGGACGACCAGCCACACUGGGACUGGAGAUGCGACGGCCCAGACUCCUACGGGAGGCAGCAGUGGGGAAUUUUGGACAAUGGGGAAACUUUGAUCCAGCCAUCCUUACAUGGGUGCGAUGAAGGCCUUCGGGUUGUAAAAGCACUUUUGGUGGUGGGAGAAGAAACGGCACGGGAUAAUACCCGUGCAACUGACGGUACCUGCAGAAUAAGCACCGGCUAACUACGUGCCAGCAGCCGCGGUAAUACGUAGGGUGCAAGCAAGACUGGAAUUAAUGGGCGUAAAGCGUGCGCAGGCGGUUCGGAAAGAAAGAUGGGAAAUCCCGUGAGCUUAACUUUGGAACUGCAUUUUUAACUGAGCGAGUGUCAGAGGGAUGCGGAAUUCCGCGUGUAGCAGUGAAAUGGCGCGUAGAUAUGUGGAGGAACACCGGAUGGCGAAGGCAGCCUCCCGGGAUAACACUGACGCUCAUGCACGAAAGCGUGGGGAGCAAACAGGAUUAGAUACUCCCGGUAGUCCACGCCCCAAACGAUGUCAACUAGCUGCUGGGGCCUUCGGGCCUUGGUAGCGCAGCUAACGCGUGAAGUUGACCGCCUGGGGAGUACGGUCGCAAGAUUAAAACCUCAAAGGAAUUGACGGGGACCCGCACAAGCGGUGGAUGAUGUGGAUUAAUUCAAUGCAACGCGAAAAACCUUACCUACCCUUGACAUGUCUGGAAUCCCGAAGAGAUUUGGGAGUGCUCGCAAGAGAACCGGAACACAGGUGCUGCAUGGCUGUCGUCAGCUCGUGUCGUGAGAUGUUGGGUUAAGUCCCGCAACGAGCGCAACCCUUGUCAUUAUUGCUGAUGCCGGGCACUCUAAUGACUGCUCGGUGACAAACCGAGGAAGGUGGGAUGACGUCAAGUCCUCAUGGCCCUUAUGGGUAGGGCUUCACACGUCAUACAAUGGUCGGGACAGAGGGUCGCCAAAAUCCCGCGAGGGGGAGCCAACCCAGAAACCCGAUCGUAGUCCGGAUCGCAAAUUGCAACUCGACUGCGUGAAGUCGGAAUCGCUAGUAAUCGCGGAUCAGCAUGUCGUGGUGAAUACGUUCCCGGGUCUUGUACACACCGCCCGUCACACCAUGGAGUGGGUUUUACCAGAAGUAGUUAAGCCUAACCGUAAGGAGGGCGAUUACCACGGUAGGAUUCAUGACUGGGGUGAAGUCGUAACAAGGUAA